rnacentral:lncRNA from 1 species
GACACACACAAAACACACAAAAAAUCCUCACUUAUCCCGCUAUUAUUUUGCUUUGAAAAUUACCCAUGAAUAUGUAAAGUCUAGCUCACCAAAAAUCCUGAAGUCCAUAAAAUAGGAAAGUAAAAAGGAUAUUGGCACCAUUACUGUGGUAAGGUGGCUUGGAGGUGAGUCUGAGCCCCCCUGGGGUGUGCUGGGUCCUCUCCCGUUAGUCGUCUCUUCCAAAACCCGCACUCCCCACUGUCACAGACACUUUCGAUUCAAACAAUCCAUCUCUUUCACAGCAAAAAAGCCUCCGCACAGCUCCUUCUACCUCAGCACGAAGACACAUGGCUAUCAGAUAACUAGGUUAAGUAUUUCUGAGGCGUGUGGCAGAAUAAAUGAGUCUCGUCUCACCACAGAAAGAAGACACAGCAUGCUUGAAGAGGCUUUUUCAGCUACUAUUCCUAGGAAUGAGGUGGUUUGACACUUCUUAAGUUUUUCUCUGCACCUCUGACCACAAAACAGCACAAUGAUGGGAAAGAGCACACUCCUUCUUUGGACCAAGCUCACGUUUACUCGGAGAGCAAGACUUCAGGGAUCUACGUGUCACCCUAAUGAAGAAACCAAAGACAGUGUCAGAUGAAAUAAAAGAUAGGUCUUGCUUCA